rnacentral:rRNA from 1 species
UACGUAGGGGGCAAGCGUUGUCCGGAAUCAUUGGGCGUAAAGCGCGUGUAGGCGGCUCGGUAAGUCUGCUCUGAAAGUCCAAGGCUCAACCUUGGGAUGCGGGUGGAUACUGCCGGGCUCGAGUCCGGAAGAGGAGUGUGGAAUUCCUGGUGUAGCGGUGAAAUGCGCAGAUAUCAGGAGGAACACCAAUGGCGAAGGCAGCACUCUGGGACGUGACUGACGCUGAGACGCGAAAGCGUGGGGAGCAAACAGG